AAAUUUAAUAACGUAAUUCCCGUAAAAAUACCUUACGUCACGAAACACAAUUCUUACGAACACCGAGCGUAUUUUAUACACUGGUUAUUUUCCGUACACAAAUGUACCGGAUAGUUUAUAUGCCGUCCUAUGCAGAAAAGAAGGCAGUCUUUCCAGCUCUUAUCAAUCUUUGGGGGUAUUAUUGUAAUUAUUCGUAGACCCGUCCGAUUUCUACUUUCAUUUUCAAGGUAUUCAACACAAAAUGACCCGAAAACGGGGUGCAUCGCUUUGAACAGCCAUAACUUCAUCAAUUGUGCAGCGAUUUUCACGAACUCGGUCUUAUUCAACGCUAAAAAUUAAUGAACUUUGAUAAAAAAUUCAGUAAUUGUUUGUUGUUAUGUACAGGCACCUUUGGGAAUUCCAUUUGUAUAAAUAAUAUAGUAACUAUAGUAGAUUUUUAUUAUAUUAUAUAUGUCAUUCCCUAAAUUACCCAAUUGAAUUUAAAAAACGGGGUUGAAAAACACAAUUAAGCUCAAAAGCAGGGGGUGAAGUAUUUUGCUAAAAUUCUAUUGAAUUUACAAAAACCCUAUUGUUGUCAAAAACAGGGGGUAAAUUACCCAAUAUACCCCAAUAGUUAUCUGAAGCCCUGAUAUCCCAAGUGUUGUCUCUGAUUAGUCUAUACAAUCCUGACAGAUUAAUCUGGGACGUCAAUUUACACACAUGCAUAACGCCCAGAGAAAGGCUUAUAUUGAUUUCAUUUGGGACAAGUCUGUAAAAAAGAUCCUUUUGAUCAGUAAACACCUAAGAUUAAAAAGGAAUAUCCUUAUUUUUUCAUCAUAUUUCUUUACAUAUCCCACAUGAUUGUUUCAGUAUGUAGAUCAUAACUCACAAGGAAUAUGUAGCGUUAUGAACAAUUACUAAAAUUAUAAUCAUUGUGCCACUUAAAGAAACGUUGAAUAAUACUGUAUUUGUAUACCCAUUUUUGAUUGUUUGGCAAUAUUCAUGUGACCAAACAUGCCUUGUUAUAGUUUUUAUGAGGUAUUGUUCCUGUUACAGUCACACUUCAAUUAUUAUGCCCCCCUUCGAAGAAGAGGGGGUAUAUUGUUUUGCACAUGUCGGUAGGUCGGUCCGUCCACCAGAUGGUUUACGGAUGAUAACUCAAGAGCGCUUAGGCCUAGGAUCAUGAAACUUCAUAGGUACAUUGAUCAUGACUGGCAGAUGACCCCUAUUGAUUUUCAGGUCACUAGGUCAAAGGUCACAGUGACUCGAAACAGUAAAAUGGUUUGCGGAUGAUAACUCAAAAAUGCUUAGGCCUAGGAUCAUGAAACUUCAUAGGUACAUUGAUCAUGGCUGGCAGAUGACCCCUAUUGAUUUACAGGUCACUAGGUCGAAGGUCAAGGUCACAGUGACUCGAAACAGAAAAAUUGUUUCCGUAUGAUAACUCAAGAACGCUUACUUCUAGGAUCAUGAAAAUUCAUAGGUACAUUGAUCAUGACAGACAGAUGACCCCUAUUGAUUUUCAGGUCGCUAGGUCGAAGGUCAAGGUCACAGUGACUCGAAACAGUAUAAUGGUUUCGGGAUGAUAACUCAACAUUUGUUGUUUCAAGGAAGUCCCUUUGUACAAGAAAAUCCAGUCUGUUCUGCCAGAUAGCCUGUGCAGACUGUGCAUGCUGAUGUGAAAGAUACUGUAGACACAUGCAUUAAGCCCAGAAUUCCCAGAGACCAAUUAAUUGAGUCGUGUUCUGAGAAAACUGGGCAAAAUGCAUGUGAGAAAAGUGUCGUCCCAGAUUAGCCUGCUCAAACUAGAUUUUAGUUUAAAGUGACUUCCUUUAAACGAAAAAUACCAUUAAAGUGGAAAGUGUCAUCCCUGCGGACUGCACAGGCUAAUCUGGGAGGACACUUUACGCACAUGCAUUUUGCCCAAUUUUCACAGUACACGACACAAUUGUUUAAGCUAGUCAUAUAUCUCUUAUAUUGUUUCAUGGUCAUUGUUAAACUACCAAAGUGACUCAGCGCCCUUUUAUUAAUAUUUGCUGUUUAGAUUGAAACAAUAGAAUCUUGUUAUUGUCGAGUGCUUUUUUAAGAGACACUUGAGUCCAUUGUCUCAUCAGAUAUAUGAAUUUUGUUGAUGCAAUAUCUGACAUAUGUUACAACAUGAGGUUUGUAAAAAUGGACAGAUCACUAAACAAGAGGAGUCUUGCGGAUAUUAAUUUAAAGAUCUGUUUUCUAUUGUUUAGCAUUUUGAUGUUUAUAUAUAAAUUAUACAGGUUUUGAUGACUAUGUUUUUAGAGGAUGAGAAAGCAUUAUGCAAAAGAAAUUGAUAUGGUAUCCAUGAAAUGUGUAUAUCAUUUUUGCAUGUUUAAGUACAUGUAUGUUGAAUUUAGAAAACUUUUCUCAAGGGUAAAUUAUGCUAGUAGAGAUCACGAGAAUCGGAUGAAUGUUGUGAGAGCUGUACAAGUAUCUAAUACACAUAUACCACUGCAAUCUAUGUUUGUAUUAGGCAAAUUAGAAAAAAAAAAAAUUGUCAUGAACAAUAAGGUGCUUUGAUAAAAGUAAUGGGUACUGGUACUUCAUAGUACCUGUACUUUUUGUCUACGAUGUAAAGAUAAUUGAUUAAGUAUUUAAUGUUCAAAACAUGUGUGCUUUUGUUUACCCCAAUUUGAACUUUGUGUUAUAGCCUGAUAUAGAUAUGUUCAUUUGUUCACAUAGUGAAUAUUUUGUUAGUGUUAAAAUAGCUUGGUAUACUUGCUAACACUAUUUCAUCACACAUGUAUGUUGUUGUCUUUCUUCCUCUCUGUUUAUUUAUAAUACUCUAACAAUAAUUGUAAGGAAGUGGCUACAGGUACGGAUCUGUAUCUCUAGCCAAACCACUGGGGUUUUGCUACAGGUACGACUUCCCGUUUUCACAUAUCGUGUGUCCUUGUUCAUAGUUAAAGGGGCCUUUUCACGUUUGGGUAAAUUGACAAAAUUGAAAAAAGUUGUUUCAGAUUCUCAAAUUUUCGUUUAAGUUAUGAUAUUUGUGAGGAAACAGUAAUACUGAACAUUUACCAUGCUCUAAAAUAGCCAUUAAAUGCAUCUGUUGACGAUUUUAAAACCCGAAAAUUAUAAAGCGUUGCAACGCGAAACAUAUUAAUAAUUUGGAGAGUUCUGUUGUUGUCGUUAUAUUUUGUGAAACUACGAGGAUUGAUUAUAUGGAGUAUAAAAUAACCCUGACAUUGUGUUUGGAAGGAUGGCCGAGUGGUCUAAGUGAGAGACUUUUUACUCCAGGACUCCAGGGGUCAGUGGUUCGAGCCCUGCUGAGGGAAGUCUUUUUAAGCUCACCUGUCACGAAGUGACAUGGUGAGCUUAAGUUACAGUGUGAUGUCCGGCGUCCAAUGUGCGUGCGUGUGUCCGUCAACAAUUUGUUUGUGUAGACAGUAGAGGUCACAGUUUUUUUAUCCAAUCUUUAUGAAAUUUGGUCAGAAUGUUUAUCUUGAUGAAAUCUUGGUUGGGAUUGUAUAUGGGUCAUCUGGGGUCAAAAACUAGGUCACUAGGUCAAAUAAUAGAAAAACCUUGUGUAGAAAAUAGAGGUCACAGUUUUCAUCCAAUCUUUAUGAAAUUUGAUCAGAGUGUUUAUUUAGAUGAAAUCUGGGUUGGGAUUGUAUUUGGGUCAUCUGGGGUCAAAAACUAGGUCACUAGGUCAAAUAAUAGAACAUUAACAACCUUGUGUAGGCAAUAGAGGUCACAGUUUUCAUCCAAUCUUUAGUAAAUUUGGUUAGACUGUUUAUCUUGAUAAAAUCUGGAUUGGGAUUGUAUUUGGGUCAUCUGGGGUCAGAAACAAGGUCAAAUCAUAGGAAAACCUUGUGUAGACAACAUAGGUCACAGUUUUCAUCCAAUCUUUAUGAAAUUUAGUCAGAAUGUUUAUCUUGAUGAAAUCUGGGUUGGGAUUGUAUUUGGGUCAUCUGGGGUCAAAAACUAGGUCACUAGGUCAAAUAAUAGAACAACCUUGUGUAGACAAUAGAGGUCACAGUUUUCAUCUAAUCUUUAUGAAAUUUGGUCAGAAUGUUUUUCUUGAUAAAAUCUGGGUUGGCAAUGUAUUUGGGUCAUCUGGGGUCAAAAACUAGGUCACUAGGUCAAAUAAUAGAAAAACCUUGUGUAGACAAUAGAGGUCACAGUUUUCAUCCAAUCUUAAUGAAACUUGGUCAGAAUGUUUAUCUUGAUCAAAUCUGGAUUGGGAUAGUUUUUGGGUCAUCUGGGGUCAGAAACUAGGUCACUAGGUCAAAUCAUAGGAAAACCUUGUGUAGACAAUAGAGGUCACAGUUUUCAUCCAAUCUUUAUGAAAUUUAAUCAGAAUGUUUAUCUUGAUGAAAUCUGGGUUGGGAUUGUAUUUGGGUCAUCUGGGGUCAAAAACUAGGUCAAAUAAUAGAACAACCUUGUGUAGACAAUAGAGGUCACAGUUUUAAUCCAAUCUUUAUGAAAUUUGGUCAGAAUUUUUAUCUUGAUGAAAUCUGGAUUGGGAUUGUAUUUGGGUCAUCUGGGGUCAAAAACUUGGUCACUAGGUCAAAUAAUAGGAAAACCUUGCGUAGACAAUAGAGGUCACAGUUUUCAUCAGAUCUUAAUGAAAUAUGGUCAGAAUGUUUGUCUUGGUAAAAUCUGGGUUGGGAUUGAAUUUGGGUUAUCUGGUGUCAAAAACUAGGUCACUAGGUCAAAUCAUAGAAAAACCUUGUGUAGACAAAAGAGGUCAUAGUCUUCAUCUGAUCUUAAUGAAAUAUGGUCAGAAUGUUUUUCUUGGUAAAAUCUGGGUUGGGAUUGAAUUUGGUUCAUCUGGUGUCAAAAACUAGGUCACUAGGUCAAAUCAUAGAAAAACCUUGUGUAGACAAUAUAGGUCAUAGUUUUCAUCUGAUCUUAAUGAAAUAUGGUCAGAAUGUUUAUCUUGAUAAUAUCUGAUUUUGGAUCGUAUAUGGACCAUCUGGGGUCAAAAAUUAGGUCACUGGACCAAUUCUAGUAAAACCUUGUGUAGAUGAAAGAGGUCUCAGUUUUCAUCACGUCUUAAUGAAAUUUUGUCAAAAUGUAUUAAUUAAUGAAAUCUGGCUUGCGAUUGUAUGUGGGUCUGAUAGAAUAUAAGUUGAUGCAGCAAGGUUAGUCUGGUGAGCGAUUCAUGGCCCUCACGGCCCUCUUGUUUUCUUUUUAAAAUUGUAUUGUUGAUGUUUUACUGGAGCUUUUCAUAUCCAAUGUCAACAUUUAUCAAUACAAAGCAUUUAAUGACAAACUUUAAAAUCUGUGAAAAGGCCCCUUUAAUUAUAGUAAAUAUAUAAGUGUAUAUCAUGUAUACAAAAUUGUACCUAUGUUUAUAAUUAAAACAUGUUUAAAGCUCA